rnacentral:rRNA from 1 species
AUGCAGUCGAACGGUAGAGGAGCAAUCCUCGAGAGUGGCGAACGGGUGAGUAAUACAUCGGAACGUGCCCAGUCGUGGGGGAUAACGUAGCGAAAGCUACGCUAAUACCGCAUACGACCCGAGGGUGAAAGCGGGGGACUCGCAAGAGCCUCGCGCGAUUGGAGCGGCCGAUGGCAGAUUAGGUAGUUGGUGGGGUAAAGGCCCACCAAGCCUGCGAUCUGUAGCUGGUCUGAGAGGACGACCAGCCACACUGGGACUGAGACACGGCCCAGACUCCUACGGGAGGCAGCAGUGGGGAAUUUUGGACAAUGGGCGAAAGCCUGAUCCAGCCAUACCGCGUGCGGGAAGAAGGCCUUCGGGUUGUAAACCGCUUUUGUCAGGGAAGAAAUACUUCGGGCUAAUACCCUGGGGUGAUGACGGUACCUGAAGAAUAAGCACCGGCUAACUACGUGCCAGCAGCCGCGGUAAUACGUAGGGUGCAAGCGUUAAUCGGAAUUACUGGGCGUAAAGCGUGCGCAGGCGGUUCUAUAAGACAGAUGUGAAAUCCCCGGGCUCAACCUGGGAACUGCAUUUGUGACUGUAGAGCUAGAGUACGGUAGAGGGGGAUGGAAUUCCGCGUGUAGCAGUGGAAUGCGUAGAUAUGCGGAGGAACACCGAUGGCGAAGGCAAUCCCCUGGACCUGUACUGACGCUCAUGCACGAAAGCGUGGGGAGCAAACA